UCCUACGGGAGGCAGCAGUGGGGAAUAUUGGACAAUGGGCGAAAGCCUGAUCCAGCCAUGCCGCGUGUGUGAAGAAGGUCUUCGGAUUGUAAAGCACUUUAAGUUGGGAGGAAGGGGUUGAAGCUAAUACCUUCAAUCUUGACGUACCAACAGAAGCG
rnacentral:rRNA from 1 species